GGAUUGUGGCUCAGUGGUAGAGUGCUUGCCUAGCAUGUGUGAUAUACUGGGUUCAAUCCUCAGCACCA
rnacentral:tRNA from 1 species